rnacentral:lncRNA from 1 species
UUGCCAGCUGACCGCCGCCCCGCCGCGCCCGCCGCGCCCGCCGCCGACCAGGGCUCCUGGUGCCUGUGCCAGCUCAAUGGGGCCGCCGACCUCGAAGUUUCCGAAGAAGUAAAAUAGAAAGAAGACCUUUUUUGAAAUGACCUGUGUUAGUCACCUCUCUCAGGAUGCGUGAGGCGGACACGUUGAGGCCACCUCAGCUGAUGGAAGUUUCCGCUGACAUCAUCUCUACCGUUGAGUUCAACCACACGGGAGAGUUGCUGGCCACAGGUGACAAGGGCGGCCGGGUCGUCAUCUUCCAGCGGGAACCAGAGAGUAAAAAUGCGCCCCACAGCCAGGGCGAGUACGACGUCUACAGCACUUUCCAGAGCCACGAGCCGGAGUUUGACUAUCUCAAGAGCCUUGAGAUAGAGGAGAAGAUCAACAAGAUCAAGUGGCUCCCGCAGCAGAACGCCGCCCACUCGCUCCUGUCCACCAACGAUAAAACUAUCAAAUUAUGGAAGAUUACCGAACGAGAUAAAAGGCCUGAAGGAUACAACCUGAAGGAUGAAGAGGGGAAACUUAAGGACCUGUCCACAGUGACAUCACUGCAGGUGCCGGUGCUAAAGCCCAUGGACCUGAUGGUGGAGGUGAGCCCUCGGAGGAUCUUUGCCAAUGGCCACACCUACCACAUCAACUCCAUCUCCGUCAACAGUGACUGCGAGACCUACAUGUCGGCGGAUGACCUGCGCAUCAACCUCUGGCACCUGGCCAUCACUGACAGGAGCUUCAGUAUCCUUCACUAUGGCCUGGCCGGUGCCUCCCACAGGCAGGGUGGCUUCCGGUGGGCGGCGGGUUUGGUUGGUUGGCAGCCAGCUGGUUUGGGGGUGGCUGCAUUGUUUAACUUCUUCAGUGAGGCACCUCUGGCUCCUAGUAUGCGUGUGAGGCCCAGAUACAGAAUCAUAUGUCACGUCUGUUUCUGAAAACCACAAAAAUCACGGUUGCUGAGCAUCACACGUAACCCAUCGCCUCCUUCAGGGUGGCCAUGAUCCCCCUCAUCCUGGGGCCUCAUCAGCGGCCAGGAAGGAGACAGAGUUCAGGGUUCAGCUGCUUUGGAUGAGGGACUGCUGGCCUGGCUCAGCGUCCACUGGAGGCUGUUCGGGGCCCUCCCCACCGGGGCCCAAGGCAGGCUGUGUUAGCCUAAGAGGACCAGCACUGGGGCCCCAACCAGGGCUU